rnacentral:rRNA from 1 species
CGAGAAAGCCCGCAAGGGUGAGUACAGCGGCGCACGGGUGCGUAACACGUGGGUAAUCUACCCUGAAGUCCGGAAUAACUCCCCGAAAGGGGUGCUAAUGCCGGAUGAGACCACGGGGGCUUCGGCUCCCGCGGGAAAAGGUGGCCUCUGUAUACAAGCUAUCACUUCAGGAUGAGCCCGCGGCCCAUCAGCUCGUUGGCGGGGUAAUGGCCCACCAAGGCUACGACGGGUAGCUGGUCUGAGAGGACGAUCAGCCACACUGGAACUGAGACACGGUCCAGACUCCUACGGGAGGCAGCAGUGGGGAAUCUUGCGCAAUGGGCGAAAGCCUGACGCAGCAACGCCGCGUGUGUGAUGAAGGUCUUCGGAUCGUAAAGCACUGUCGCGAGGGACG